rnacentral:rRNA from 1 species
UACGGCGGGUGCAAGCGUUAUCCGGAUUCACUGGGUUUAAAGGGUGCGUAGGUGGGUUGGUAAGUCAGUGGUGAAAUCUCCGUGCUUAACAUGGAAACUGCCAUUGAUACUACUGAUCUUGAAUUUUCAGGAGGUAAGCGGAAUAUGUCAUGUAGCGGUGAAAUGCUUAGAUAUGACAUAGAACACCAAUUGCGAAGGCAGCUCACUACAGGAAUAUUGACACUGAUGCACGAAAGCGUGGGGAUCAAACAGG